rnacentral:rRNA from 1 species
AACGAACGCUGGCGGCAUGCCUAACACAUGCCAGUCGAACGAGACCUUCGGGUCUAGUGGCGCACGGGUGCGUAACGCGUGGGAACCUGCCCUUAGGUUCGGAAUAACUCCCCGAAAGGGGUGCUAAUACCGGAUAAUGUCUUCGGACCAAAGAUUUAUCGCCUUUGGAUGGGCCCGCGUUGGAUUAGCUAGUUGGUAGGGUAAAAGCCUACCAAGGCGACGAUCCAUAGCUGGUCUGAGAGGAUGAUCAGCCACACUGGGAUUGAGACACGGCCCAGACUCCUACGGGAGGCAGCAGUGGGGAAUAUUGGACAAUGGGCGAAAGCCUGAUCCAGCAAUGCCGCGUGAGUGAUGAAGGCCUUAGGGUUGUAAAGCUCUUUUACCCGGGAUGAUAAUGACAGUACCGGGAGAAUAAGCUCCGGCUAACUCCGUG